UGAAGUUAUCACUUCAGAUCUGGACGUUUUAUGGCCUCAUUAGAUUUAAAGUUGCAAGCUUUAUCAAGUUCUAGGCCUCUUUCAUGCUUUAGGUCCCUUAUUAAGCCUUUCUUGAGUCUUGGAGCCUCUUUGUGACAUGCAUGGACAUAAAGUUAUCAACUUUGUGUGGUAUUUCAAUUCUUGGGUAUCAUAUUUAUAGUUUAAGGCAUUAGUUUCGAUAAGAAGGGGCUUAAUAUGUUAAGACUGGGAAAAAUCAAUGAUUUUUCCUGACAACUCGGCGAGUUGGCUUUGGUUUUCCCAAUUUUCUAGAUAUUGUAGGAACUCGACGAGUUGUCAUGACAACUCGGCGAGUUGGCUCAGGUUUUCCCCACUUCUCUGAGUAUUUUAGUACCUCGACAAGUUGGUAUUUGCACUCGACGAGUAAGGUCAACAUGGACUGUUGACCUUGACUGUUGACUUUGACUUUUACUAUGGUUGACCAAGUUUGACUUUGAGGGCAUUUUGGGUAUUUUGGGGUUUUGAUAGAAAUGGUAACAUGGUGGUUAUAGGCUGUUGAGUCCGGAGCUGAGUUUUGGAGUUGGGUUUCACCGAUUCAACACUACUUGUGAGGUGAGUGUUCCUUACUAUACUUGUUCGGUUGAAGUCACCAUGGCCGACCCUUUUGGAUUGUUAUCCUGGUUAUUACAUGUUUGAGUAUUGUAGUAAUCUGUUAGAUCUGUAUCCUGAUUAAAG
rnacentral:lncRNA from 1 species